rnacentral:rRNA from 1 species
UAGAGUUUGAUUUUGGCUCAGGAUGAACGCUGGCGGCGUGCUUAACACAUGCAAGUCGAACGGACUCAUAUUGAAACCUAGUGAUUUAUGAGUUAGUGGCGGACGGGUGAGUAACGCGUGGAUAACCUGCCGUAUACCGGGGGAUAACACUUAGAAAUAGGUGCUAAUACCGUAUAAGCGCACGGCUCCGCAUGGGGCAGUGUGAAAAACUCCGGUGGUAUACGAUGGAUCCGCGUCUGAUUAGCUAGUUGGCGGGGUAACGGCUCACCAAGGCAGCGAUCAGUAGCCGGCCUGAGAGGGUGGACGGCCACAUUGGGACUGAGACACGGCCCAAACUCCUACGGGAGGCAGCAGUGGGGAAUAUUGCACAAUGGGGGAAACCCUGAUGCAGCGACGCCGCGUGAGUGAAGAAGUAUCUCGGUACGUAAAGCUCUAUCAGCAGGGAAGAAAAUGACGGUACCUGACCAAGAAGCCCCGGCUAACUACGUGCCAGCAGCCGCGGUAAUACGUAGGGGGCAAGCGUUAUCCGGAUUUACUGGGUGUAAAGGGAGCGUAGACGGCAGCACAAGUCUGGAGUGAAAUCCCGGGGCUUAACCCCGGAACUGCUUUGGAAACUGUGCGGCUGGAGUGCAGGAGGGGUAAGCGGAAUUCCUAGUGUAGCGGUGAAAUGCGUAGAUAUUAGGAGGAACACCGGUGGCGAAGGCGGCUUACUGGACUGUAACUGACGUUGAGGCUCGAAAGCGUGGGGAGCAAACAGGAUUAGAUACCCUGGUAGUCCACGCCGUAAACGAUGAUUACUAGGUGUCGGGGGACCAAGGUCCUCCGGUGCCGGCGCAAACGCAUUAAGUAAUCCACCUGGGGAGUACGUUCGCAAGAAUGAAACUCAAAGGAAUUGACGG